ACGGAGGGUGCAAUCCUUCCUCUUAAUUACUUGGCGUAAAGCGCACGUAGGCUGUAGUGUAAGUCAGGGGUGAAAUCCCACGGCUCAACCGCGGAACUGCCUUUGAUACUGCACAACUUGAAUCCGGGAGAGGGUGGCGGAAUUCCAGGUGUAGGAGUGAAAUCCGUAGAUAUCUGGAGGAACAUCAGUGGCGAAGGCGGCCACCUGGACCGGUAUUGACGCUGAGGUGCGAAAGCGUGGGGAGCAAACAG
rnacentral:rRNA from 1 species